rnacentral:rRNA from 1 species
CAGUAGCCGCGGUAAAACGGAGGGGGCUAGCGUUGUUCGGAAUUACUGGGCGUAAAGCGCACGUAGGCGGCUUGGUAAGCUAGAGGUGAAAGCCCGGAGCUCAACUCCGGAAUUGCCUUUAAGACUGCCGAGCUAGUAGGUGAGAGAGGUAAGUGGAAUUCCGAGUGUAGAGGUGAAAUUCGUAGAUAUUCGGAAGAACACCAGUGGCGAAGGCGGCUUACUGGCUCAUUCUAGACGCUGAGGUGCGAAAGCGUGGGGAGCAAACAGGAUUAGAUACCCCAGUAGUCCCUGUCUCUUAUAC